ensembl:snoRNA SNORD124 small nucleolar RNA, C/D box 124
CGGACCCCAGGAAGGGAUGAUGUUCUGACUGGCACUCAAGAAAAGGAUUCUGAGCCUCCCUCGGGCGCUGAAGGAGCCCUCUGCUCCUGACCUUCCCUGGGCAGCU